UACGUAGGGGGCUAGCGUUGUCCGGAAUCAUUGGGCGUAAAGAGCGUGUAGGCGGCCCGGUAAGUCCGCUGUAAAAGUCAAAGGCUCAACCUUUGAAUGUCAGUGGAUACUGCCGGGCUAGAGUCCGGAAGAGGCGAGUGGAACUCCUGGUGUAGCGGUGGAAUGCGCAGAUAUCAGGAAGAACACCAACGGCGAAGGCAGCCAUCUGGACCGACACUGACGCUGAGGCGCGAAAGCGUGGGGAGCAAACAGG
rnacentral:rRNA from 1 species